rnacentral:miRNA from 1 species
ACUGUGGAGGGUUUCUAUGU